UGUGUAGUAUCUCACCGUUUCAACUCCUAUCAUUUUUGUAAAUCAAUAUACUUCUGAUUCUCCUAGAAAUACUCAAUUCCAGAUAUUAGCAUAUGAUGAAAACAGUUUCUUCAAAACCUCCGAGAUGUCGUUACCUUAUCUUUUGAGCACCAUCAGAGUUUGAGAGGUUUGCAGUGUGUUGGAGGCUUGGAGCGAUGGUGAUCUUCGCGCCGAAACCGAUCUGUUUUCUCUGCGUUCCCCAUCUAUGUUUUCGCCGGUAAAUUGUUUCCAUCGUUCGCUUCGGCUUGCUUACCGCCUUAGGAAACAGUGCGUGCUGUGAGGUCCCAGAAGAUUCCACAACAGACAGACCUUAAUCGGCCUCCUCUAUUUACAGAUUUCCUGAGAAAUUUUUGUCCAGCCGCAGUAAAAUUGGCCUAAUGGAGACUGAAAUGAUGGAGAUUUGAUGCAGUACUUGUCCUUCAUGGGAGACUCGCCACAAAUAGUAAGGGGACGGAGCACAGAAACCAGGAGACGAUGACACGCUACUUUGAGAUGCUUCUGUGAACAAGUUUUCCAGCAGAGUAUGGAUGACGACAUGAGGCAAGCUAUGAACAAAAAAAAAAGUGAUAUUCAUGGACAGUACUCGGGUCGGUUGAGGCUGUUUGAAUACAGAGGCUUCCCUCCUACAGCUAACUGCUUAUUCUUGGGAGAUUACGUGGACCGAAGGUAGCAGAGUUUGGAGACGAUCUGUCUUCUACUUUUCUACAAAAUCAAAUACCCGUGAACCUUUUAUUUCUGAGAGGAAACCACGAAUGAGCUUCCAUCAAGAGAAUCUACGGAUUCUACAAUGGAUUCAACCGUAGAUUCAGUGUGAGACUCUCAAAAGUGUUUACAGAUUCUUUUGAGUGCCUCCUGUAGCUGCUGCAAUAGCCAUAAGAUAUUAUGCAUGCAUUCCUUUCUCCUGAUUUGACAACCGUGGAACAGAUUACAAACAUUAAGCGACCUACUGACGUUCCAGACUCUGGUCAGCUCUGUGGUCUGCUUUGAUCUGAUCAAGCAAAGAUGUCAAAGCUGGUGGAUGAACCACCGUGGAGUCUCUUACACGUUUGGACCUGAAAAGGUCGUUGAGCUUCUAAUAAAAAACGAUAUGGAUCUCAUCUGUAAUGCUCAAUAGAGGAUGAUUAUGACUUUUUCCUGAACGACCGCUUGCUAUUAUACUUUAUGCUCUUAACUACGGUGGUGACUUCGACAAUGCUGGUGCAGUGAUAAGUGUUGAUGAAAGGGUACUCUUUCCAAAUUUUUAAGCAUGUGGAUCGGAGGCCCUGGUUCUUAUGAUCAAAAGAGGUACUUCAAGUACCUUCUUGAUUCGGUCUUUUAGAUUCGCAGGUAGCAGUAGUCUUUCAUCUAAAAUAACGUAGCAAGCAACCUCAUAGAAAAGCUGCUGUAUAUCAAUUCUAAAAUUGUGUAGAGUAUGACACCAGCUCUCACUAUUUGCGUACACAAUGCUUAAGAAUUGUGAUGACAAGAAGAUCAAGAAGAUUUGUGAUGUAAAUUCAGAUCCUUCAAGAACUACUGAAAAUGUGAACGGAGAAGUACCUGAAGCAGCUCAUCGCUGCGGUUGCCAGUGGUAGUAACUAGUCAUGAGUCGAGCCCUGUAGCUAGAUGUCGAAGAGUAUAUUCUCAUGCUCAUGAUUAUCGUAUCAAUUCUAUCUCAAAUAACAGUGACGGCGAAACAUUUAUUUCUGCUGAUGAUUUGCGAAUAAAUCUUUGGAAUCUGGAAAUUACCAAUCAAAGUUUUAACAUUGUUGAUGUCAAGCCUAAGAAAAUGGAAGAUCUAUCUGUUUGAACCUUUCGGGGAAAGAAGACGAAAUUGGCAAACAUGAAACCAGGCAAGAGACUUAUGACGGUACUUGAGACUUUGUCCUUUUAGGCCUUGCAAGGAGGCUUAAAAUGCAUUUUACAUGUUAUACCAUAUCUUCAUGAAUACUCACUAUUUUUUUUUCUCAAAACUUUGUGUUUUAAUGAUCUUCUCUGACUCAUAUUGGACAGUAAAAAGUCUACAAAGUUUUAUUUUUCCA